rnacentral:misc_RNA from 1 species
UGGUAUGUAAGUGUAUUACUGGUGGAGUUCUUAUAUGUGAUUAAACACUUGUAUUUUUUCAUAUGUUCCUCCUAC